AGAGUUUGAUCCUAGCUCAGGAUGAACGCUGGCGGCGUGGAUAAGGCAUGCAAGUCAAGGGGGUCGCAAGACAACCGGCAGACGAAGUAGUAAUACGUGGGUACGCACUCUUUAGUUGGGCAUAGCUAGUCGAAAGAUUAGGUAAUUCCCAAUGGUCUCUCAGAUUAAUUUUUGGGAGUAAAGAUUUAUCGCUAGAGAAGCGGCCUGCGCAGUAUCAGCUAGUUGGUAGGGUAAUGGCCUACCAAGGCAAUGACGCUUAGGGGGGGUGAGAGCCUGUUCCCCACCGAUGGAACUGAGACACGGUCCAUACACCUACGGGUGGCUGCAGUCGAGAAUCUUCCACAAUGGACGAAAGUCUGAUGGAGCGACGCCGCGUGGUUGAUGAAGUCCUUCGGGACGUAAAAACCUUUUAUGAGUCACUAAGUUAUUGAAGAGCUCAUGAAUAAGGGGUUGCUAAACUCGUGCCAGCAGCAGCGGUAAUACGAGUGCCCCAAGCGUUAUCCGGAAUCAUUGGGCGUAAAGGGUGUGUAGGUGGUCGUAUUAGUCUUGUGUUAAAUUCUUAGGCUUAACCUAAGACAUGCAUAGGAAACGGUACGACUAGAAGAUGCGAGGGGUGAAUGGAACUCAUAGUGGAGGGGUGAAAUCCGUUGAUAUUAUGGGGAACACCAAAAGCGAAGGCAAUUCACUGGCGCAUUCUUGACACUGAAACACGAAAGCGUGGGUAGCGAAUGGGAUUAGAUACCCCAGUAGUCCACGCCCUAAACGAUGUCAACUAGCUUUAGGGAGUAUCGACCCUCUCUGAGGCGAAGCUAACGCGAUAAGUUGACCGCCUGGGUAGUACGACCGCAAGGUUAAAACUCAAAGGAAUAGACGGGGACUUGCACAAGCAGUGGAUUAUGUGGCUCAAUUCGAUGAUAAACGAAGAACCUUAUCCAGGACUAGAUAUCUAGUUGAAGAUCAGAGGAAACUUUGAUCGUCCGCAAGGACAAUUAGACAGGUGAUGCAUGGUCGUCGUCAGUUCGUGGUUUGAACUGUUCCCUUAAGUGGGGUAACGAACGCAACCCUCGUUGGCUGUUACAAGUGUCAGCUGAGACUGCCCCGUGAAAUGUGCCGGUGCCGGAAAAAAUUCCGAGCACGGACCCAUCUCACGGGGAGGAAGGUGAGGAUGACGCCAGAUCAGCAUGUCCCUCUGAUACCCUGGGCUGCACACAUAAUACAAUCGCCGUUACAACAGGUUCCGAUAUCGCAAGAUGGAGGCAAUCCUUAUAAAAGCGGCGCCAGUUCGGAUUGAAGUCUGCAACUCGACUUCAUGAAGCCGGAAUUACUAGUAAUCGCAGGUCAGCUAUACUGCGGUGAAUACGUUCUCAAGUCUUGUACUCACCGCCCGUCAACUCAAGGGAGAUGGGAGUACCCGAAGUCCGCGUUUACGCGGCCUACGGUAAGCUCAUCGACAGGGAGUAAGUCGUAACAAGGCACGGGUAGCGGAAGCUGCUCGUG
rnacentral:rRNA from 1 species